rnacentral:rRNA from 1 species
UACGAAGGGGGCUAGCGUUGUUCGGAAUCACUGGGCGUAAAGGGCGCGUAGGCGGCUUUAUAAGUCGGGGGUGAAAGCCUGUGGCUCAACCACAGAAUUGCCUUCGAUACUGUAGAGCUUGAGACCGGAAGAGGUAAGUGGAACUGCGAGUGUAGAGGUGAAAUUCGUAGAUAGUCGCAAGAACACCAGUGGCGAAGGCGGCUUACUGGUCCGGUACUGACGCUGAGAUACGAAAGCGUGGGGAGCAAACAGG